rnacentral:rRNA from 1 species
GACGAACGCUGGCGGCGUGCUUAACACAUGCAAGUCGAACGGUGAAGCGCCUUCCUUUUUGGUGGGUGUGGAUGAGUGGCGAACGGGUGAGUAACACGUGAGUAACCUGCCCCCUUCUUCUGGAUAACCGCAUGAAAGUGUGGCUAAUACGGGAUAUUCUGGGUCUGUCGCAUGAUGGGUCUGGGAAAGAUAUUGUUUCGGUGGGGGAUGGGCUCGCGGCCUAUCAGCUUGUUGGUGGGGUGAUGGCCUACCAAGGCGGUGACGGGUAGCCGGCCUGAGAGGGUGGACGGUCACAAUGGGACUGAGGCACGGCCCAGACUCCUACGGGAGGCAGCAGUGGGGAAUAUUGGACAAUGGGCGCAAGCCUGAUGCAGCGACGCCGCGUGAGGGAUGGAGGCCUUCGGGUUGUGAACCUCUUUCGCCAGUGAAGCAGGCCUGCCUCGUUUGUGGGUGGGUUGACGGUAGCUGGAUAAGAAGCGCCGGCUAACUACGUG